CCUACGGGAGGCAGCAGUGGGGAAUAUUGCGCAAUGGGGGAAACCCUGACGCAGCAACGCCGCGUGAAGGAAGAAGGUCUUCGGAUUGUAAACUUCUUUGAUCAGGGACGAAACAAAUGACGGUACCUGAGGAACAAGCCACGGCUAACUACGUGCCAGCAGCCGCGGUAAU
rnacentral:rRNA from 1 species